rnacentral:rRNA from 1 species
AACGAACGCUGGCGGCGUGCCUAACACAUGCAAGUCGAACGAAGCCUUCGGGCUUAGUGGCGCACGGGUGCGUAACGCGUGGGAAUCUGCCCUUGGGUUCGGAAUAACAGUUAGAAAUGACUGCCAAUCCCGGAUGAUGUCUUCGGACCAAAGAUUUAUCGCCCAAGGAUGAGCCCGCGUAGGAUUAGGUAGUUGGUGGGGUAAUGGCCCACCAAGCCGACGAUCCUUAGCUGGUCCGAGAGGAUGAUCAGCCACACUGGGACUGAGACACGGCCCAGACUCCUACGGGAGGCAGCAGUGGGGAAUAUUGGACAACGGGCGAAAGCCUGAUCCAGCAAUGCCGCGUGAGUGAUGAAGGCCUUAGGGUUGUAAAGCUCUUUUACCAGGGAUGAUAAUGACAGUACCUGGAGAAUAAGCUCCGGCUAACUCCGUGCCAGCCGCCGCCGUAAGAC